UCCUGAGUCUAAUUAAAUAUACUAAUUAAAACCUAUAAUCUAUCUUCCAAUAGUAAAAUAGAUUUCAAUUAGUUCAAUAAGCACAGUGAUUAUUUUCAAGAUCCCACAGGUCAAAUCUUCUGCUCCCGCUUCAAUUAUUAUUCCUAUGAUGUUUGUUAUUAACUUCAAUUUAUAAUCUUCCUUCCCAGUACCAAUUAUAAAUCGAAAUCAAUCAAGUACCAAAGAUAAUAAUACUUAAAA
rnacentral:lncRNA from 1 species